GGCAAAGUCAUCUGAUACUGUUCUGUGGGCUGGUUUCCUGGAGGUUUCUGUUGUUUCAAGAAUGCUUUAUGCAUGAAACUAUGCAGUGUGUCAAUUUUUGAGACUGGCUACUUUGAGAUUCACCCGUGUUGUUGAGUUGAAGCCCAUUCCUGUCAGUUUAUGGAUGAAGGAGUUAAAAAGAACUGGAUAAAACCCAUGAAGUGAAGUUCUGCAGACUGAAUCAGCAAGAGAAGCAUUAGGACAUCCAAGACCUACAAUUUUUCAGUGUGCAGCAGAAGAAUGUGGGAUCUGCCACUGUAUGGGAAAAUGAAGACAGGGAUGAAACUAUAUUUUAAUCAGUUCAACCUUCUCCAAGCCUAAAUCUGUAAGCUAGUGUCCACACACCUCUGACACCAGUGGAAGUAUGCUGGAUGUGAAAGCAAAAGACUGAGUAUGAAUCAUUCAAUAUAAGAGUAUCCGUUAGUUUUCAUCAAGUAUGUAAGGUUAGCCUGUUUUGUCAUUUAUGUAAAG
ensembl:lncRNA